rnacentral:rRNA from 1 species
UACGAGUGCCCCAAGCGUUAUCCGGAAUCAUUGGGCGUAAAGGGUGUGUAGGUUGUCUUGUUAGUCUCUUGUGAAAUUCUUCGGCUUAACCGGGGGUCCGCAGGGGAAACGGCAAGACUAGAGGAUGUGAGAGGUGAAUGGAACUCAUGGUGUAGGGGUGAAAUCCGUUGAUAUCAUGGGGAACACCAAAAGCGAAGGCAAUUCACUGGCGCAUUCCUGACACUCAAACACGAAAGCGUGGGUAGCGAAGUGGG